UUUUUAAAAAGUACAUAUCAAAUUGGUUAUGUAAGAUUGAACGUUUCAUUUGAUCUUACAAAAAUAAAUAUACCCAAACCACUUGGAAACGUUUAUAUUUGUGCACAUGGCGCAUGAAUUAUCAAAGUGUAUUCAUAGAAAUUUGAACGUCGCAGAUUUCCAAUGCAAAGAUAUACAGGGAAAUAUACACAGAAUGUAAAUAUAUCUUUAACAAUGUAAUGUUAUGCUAAGCUAUGUUAUGUCCAGCGAUUUUAUUGAUCAUCAAACGCCAGAAAAUCUUUUCAAUGCUGUUCUUUUUACCCCCCCCCCCCAAAAAAAAAAAAGUUAAAACAUUUCCGGGCGUUACUUUAAAACUAGAUGAGGAGGUUCAGUGAAUGCAAACACACAACGUAAAAUUGAUUUGACAAAAAAUUUAUUGACUCAACUACACACAUCUACUGCAAACCGAUUUCUUUCAUCAUCUCCCAGUAUUCGGGGUCUACUAUUUCGUCGUGACGGCCGCCUGUUUCUGCAGAUGGUUGCGGUGGUUCAAUGGCUACCAGUGGUGGCCUAACCUUGCCCUCAAUACCACUGCCCGCUCGCUGCAUGUGGUUGACAUCACGCGUCGAUUUAUUGGAACGGAUCGCUUGGUUUUGGAAUGUGUUAUGUGGCGGUGAUUCUGAUUGGCUGGAUGGACUUUGACACACAGCGUGUAACCUUUGAUUGGCGGAGAUUUUCCCGCGCGAUGACGAAAGAUUGGGAUUGGUGACGGAUGACGUAGAUGAUGGACGGGCUUUCCACACAUACUUCCCCUUCUUUAUCUGGAAAUGGACUCGAUUUCCUGUCUGUGGCGACAUUUGUCCCAGGAUUCUCUUGGCCUUUGUUCGUCUGUUGCGAAACCAGGUCUACAAAGCCAAGACGUCUCCGACAAGCCUUGGAUUUCGGUGUGAGAGGGAUAGGGUGAUUUGUGGAAGGAACUCUCCAGCUGAAGAACCUUGUACGGCGGGAACCUCUCUGUUCAAAAAGAAGGAAAAUAUAUUUUACACUUCGCACUUGACAAUAAAUGUAUUCUGAAUUCACUGACUCUGUUACCCGUAAAUUCCACGGGUUUUAUUAUUUGAAAUCAUUUCAAUCAUGAAUGUCACUAACAAAAAACAAUCAAUAUAUGGACCUUGUAAAUAAUAAUAACUGCAAUC
rnacentral:sRNA from 1 species